UACGGAAGGGGCAAGCGUUGUUCGGAAUCAUUGGGCGUAAAGGGCGCGUAGGCGGUCGCGUGUGUCUGCUGUGAAAGCGCACGGCUCAACCGUGUGAAGUCGGUAGAAAUUGCGGGACUUGAGGCUGGGAGAGGUUGGCGGAAUUCCCUGUGUAGCGGUGAAAUGCGUAGAUAUAGGGGAGAACACUCGUGGCGAAGGCGGCCAGCUGGACCAGCCCUGACGCUGAGGCGCGACAGCGUGGGGAGCAAACAGG
rnacentral:rRNA from 1 species